rnacentral:rRNA from 1 species
GUGGGGAAUAUUGGACAAUGGGCGAAAGCCUGAUCCAGCCAUGCCGCGUGUGUGAAGAAGGUCUUCGGAUUGUAAAGCACUUUAAGUUGGGAGGAAGGGCAGUAAGUUAAUACCUUGCUGUUUUGACGUUACCGACAGAAUAAGCACCGGCUAACUUCGUGCCAGCAGCCGCGGUAAUACGAAGGGUGCAAGCGUUAAUCGGAAUUACUGGGCGUAAAGCGCGCGUAGGUGGUUUUGUAAGUUGGAGGUGAAAUCACCGGGCUCAACCUGGGAACUGCCUCCGAAACUGCAUUACUAGAGUACGGUAGAGGGUAGUGGAAUUUCCUGUGUAGCGGUGAAAUGCGUAGAUAUAGGAAGGAACACCAGUGGCGAAGGCGACUACCUGGACUGAUACUGACACUGAGGUGCGAAAGCGUGGGGAGCAAACAGGAUUAGAUACCCCUGUAGUCC